CCCAGUGUGGCGUAGUGGUUGAGUGUUGGACUAUGACUCUGGAAGCCAGGGUUCGACUCUCUGCUUGGCCA